rnacentral:lncRNA from 1 species
GAGGACUGAAAGGAGUGGUUGCAUCAGGUCUCCCCCACCCUUCUGCCUCCUGCGGUUGCGGCUUUAUUGUGGCCUCUGCUCCCCUGACACCUGCAUUUCACUUAGCGGGAGAGGCGGUGGCCAACUCAGCACAGGCUGCGGACUCAGCGUGGUGACAGAUCCCUCAAGCUAGAAGACUUCUGUUAGGAGAAGCGUUAUCCUGUCAGUUGAUUACCCUGAGUUAUUAUUAUUGCUGUUUGACAGAUGAAAAACUGACAUGGAGAAAAGUUAGACAAUUCCUCCAAAUCACAAAGAUAGUAAGUUGAAAACUUGUGAAAAGAACUCUGCUAUGUCAUAUUUCAAAGUCUAUGACCUCCCCUAUAUGGUACCUUCACUGAUGCUAUUGAAUUUAAAGCAAAUAAAGGAAAUGAAGCACAGCCCAAGUGUUGAUUGGUGGGAAGAAUAAAACAGUCAGAGUAAAUCUCACAUUGAAUGAACCUCCAGUGUUGUGUUGUUAGUUAGAAUUAAAGUCAUUCUCUAGAGUGUAACUUAAGACAGUAUGUCAUUUAAGGGUCAAGAAAUAGUCUGUUUACUCAGCAUUUAUCAGUCCUUUCUUUCCAAACUUUAAGCUAGCUAUAGAAAAAUUCCAGAGAGCCUGGGGAAAGAAACAAAAGGAAAAUUAGGGAAAAGACUUACAAGGUAUGAAGUAUUAGAGAACAUUUUAAAAGGAUAAUCUAUACGCUAUGUCAUUGAUGGCUGCAGCCAUUCUCUAUGCCCAUAAACUAAAUGGGCCUAACUCUUAACAGUGGCUAUUAGGUUAGUUAGAAGAGGCAUGUUUCUGAAAAUUCCAUAGUGAACUUCAUAGCCAGAGGAAAAUAUCUUAUACUUCUUUCUAUUCAAUCAUCCUUGACUCCGAAAGUGCCUCUUAUUUUCUUUUGGUGGAACAGUGGAAAAAAAAUAUCACACUGGAAGGCCAAUUGACUGAAAUCAAGUCCCUUUUCCUAACUGUGUGAACUGGGUCCUUCACAUCACUAUCCUUCAACAACAAGAAAAACAAAAAACAUCCUAUAAAUGUAUAAAGAAGAAAAUGAAAGUUCUUUCUUUGCUACCCCUAGUUCUCUUCCCCUUCCUAGAGGCUAAACUAUUUUGUGUGCAUGUGUGUGUGUGUGUAGAAUGUACACAUAUAUGUAGGGGAUUGGUUCUAGGACUCUGUCCCCUGUGAAUACCAAAAUUCAGGGACGCCUAAGUUCCUUAUAUAAAAUGAUGCUUAUAACCUACGCACAUCCUCCUGUAUACUUUAAAUAAUCUUGAUUACUUAUAAUAUCUAAAACAGUGUAAAUGCUAUGUAAAUAGUUGUUAUACUGUAUUGUUUAGGAAAUAAUGACAAGAAAAAAGUCUGCACAUGGUCAGAACAGAUUCAACCAUUCUUUUUUUAUAUAUUUUUUUCUGAAUAAUUACAAUCCAUGGUUUGUUGAAUCCACAGAUGCAGAACUGGUGGAUAUGGAGGGCUGACUGUAUACAUGUAUCUUCCCCAUAUAAAUAGAACAAUAUUUUAUAUACUGUUCUUCAAAUGGCAUUUUCCCUUUGAAGCUCUUUUCAAAUAUGUAAAAAUCUAUUUUUAAAAACUGCUGCACAGUAGCUCAUAGAAUGAAUCUACCAUAUUUCCUUUACUCUUUCCCCUCUUGGUGGUCCUUUAGGUGGUGUUUGGUUUUUUUCUAUUAUAAAUAGUGUGCAAUGACCAUGCUUGUAAGUGCUUCUAUACUCAUAUAUGUUUCUCUGAGCACAGAUGCCUAGAUCUAGAAGCCAAACAGAUGGGUUGAAGGUGAUACCUAAUUUUAACAUUUGAUGACUCCUGCCAAAUUACCCUCUGAAAAGAAUUUAACAAUUUAUAUUCCUUCCACAUCAUUGCCUCUUUCCCCACAUCAUAAUGUAAGUCUUCUUAUUUUUUACUCACCAAAGGGAGAGAAAUAUUUACUGUUUAAAACUGAGCACCUUUUAAACUGCUUUUCUUUCUUUAUUGGCUUAACUCUUCAAGAUGUGUCUUUUUUCUGAUUGGACUAUUGUUUUUAUCUUUACUGGCUUUUAGAAGCUCUUUAUAUAAUCUGGAUAAUAAGCUUUCGUCAUCAAUAUAUGUUGCAGAUAUUUCCUCUCAGUGUGUCAUCAGAUUUUGUAUUUAUGUCUAUUUAUUAUGUCUGUGACCAUACAAAUUAUUAAAUUUCUUAUAAGGUUAGGCUAAGCUUCUUUCUUUAUGAGUUAAUGGGGGUUGUCUGUCUUAGAAAGGAUCUCUCAUUCCAAACCUUAAAACUAUUCUCCUAAUAAUUUUAGAUUUGUUCAACUGAGAGAGUGCUUAACUCAGGAGAUCAAUAAAGGUUCAUAGAGGAAGAAGUAUUUGAAAUUGUCCUGGAAGAACAAUAUUUUUCAACAGGCAGAGAUGGAGAAAGGACAAUCUACAUGAACAGAACAGCAUGAGCAAAAAGAACUGGUAGAAAUAUAUUGAGCUUAUUCUUGAAAAUAGCUAGCAGUUUACUCCUCCUUUCUUUUGUAUACUAACAGCAGCACACUGAACAAACUGUUCUGUCAUCUUGUUUUUAUCACUUACCAUAUCUUUGAAAUAUUUCCAUAACCAUCAUAAGGAGUAUCCCUAUUGCUUUUUGAGCAAUGCAUAGAAUUCCAUUUUGUGUGAAUAUCAUAAUUUAUCACUCUUCUAUUUUUAUCACUCCUCUGUUGAUGAUGACUUCCAGUCUUUUGAUAAUAUAAACAGUGCUGUAGUAAAUAAAGUUCUGUAUAUGUCUUUUCCCACAGGUUAGAGACUAUCCAUAGGAUAAAUUUCUAGCAAAUUGCUGAGUCCAGGAUAUGCAUGUUUGCAAUUUUGGAAGAUCUUAAAAACUUGCCUCCUAUAGGUGUUGUACCAGUAUAUACUUCUGCCAGUAAUAGAUGGGUGGGCUGCUGAUGCCUCAAAAUGGCCACAGAUAAUUUUAAGCUUGAGCAAAGAACCAGGCCUCCCAACACAAUGGAAAGAAAGGAGGCACCGUGUGAAGGGAAGAUGGCAUACGUGGCACAGACCUCCACCUCUGCUCACCACCACAGAAGGCCACUCCUGCAUGGGCAGGUGACGGCAGCGUCAGGAAGGGAAAUCAGAUUUACUUAGGUUGUUAGUCAUUAUUAAUUGCAAUAGUCUUGUGCCUUCAUUUAAAAAAAGACGACCAAAAAAUAAAAACAAAAACAUGAACACUAAUUUUGCAAAAUAUUUAAGUGAAAACUACCGGCAUAGGUGUCAUUUUGCAAAAGAAUUUGGCACUUGGGUACCUUACAGGAUGUGUCCCUAGCACAGGGAAACUGUAUUCAAGUUUUUAAAAAGGUUUUGCACACAGUGUGAUUGGAAGACAUUUGUCUACAGUUUUGAAUAUAUGUUAUAUAUAUUAUAUAUAGAUAGAUGAUGUUUUUAUUAUUUAUGCAAGCACUGCUUACAAACCCUUAUUGCAAAUAUUUAAAAAUAACAUGUAGUUUACCUUCUCUAAAUUUGUAUUGAGUGAGCGAGGCAGAAAAAUGUCCCAUGUUCCAGUAA